AUGUAAGUUUUUGCGUGUAUAGUUAUAAAUUUAAAUAGUUUAUGAUUUUUAUAAUAACCUCAGUAAAUAGAAUUAUUAAUUAAGUAACCUUAGAAAUAGUAAUAUUAUUUAGUAUUGGCUAAAUUUGUGCCAGCAGCCGCGGUUACACGAAUAAUACAAGUGAAUUUUAUCGGUUUAAGUUAAGUUAAAUUUUAUAAAAUUAAUAUGCAUUUAUUAGGUGAAAUUUUAAAUGUUUAUGGUUUUAUUUUUUAAUAGUUGAUUCUUGUAAAUUUUAUAAUUAAACUAGGAUUAGAUACCCUAUUAUUUAAAAUGUAAAUUUUUACCUAGGUAGUAGCAGUUAUGUUCUUGAAACUUAAAAAUUUGGCGGUAUUUUAGUCUAUUCAGAGGAACCUGUCCUGUAAUCGAUAAUCCACGUUUACCUUACUUUAGUUUGUUAUUCAGUUUAUAUACCGUCGUUAUCAGAAUAUUUUAUUAGAAUAAUAAUUUUCAAUAAUUUAUACUUUAAUUUAUAUCAGAUCAAGGUGUAGCUAAUGCUUAAGUAGAGAUGGGUUACAAUAAAUUAAUUUAUAUGGAUUUAAAUAUGAAACUUUUAAUGAAAGUGGAUUUGAUAGUAAAGUUAUAAAUUUUGUUAACUUGAUUUUAGCUCUAAGAUAUGCACACAUCGCCCGUCGCUCUUAUUAUUAAGAUAAGAUAAGUCGUAACAUAGUAGAUGUA
rnacentral:rRNA from 1 species